GAUGAACGCUGGCGGCGUGCCUAAUACAUGCAAGUCGAGCGAACGGACGAGAAGCUUGCUUCUCUGAUGUUAGCGGCGGACGGGUGAGUAACACGUGGAUAACCUACCUAUAAGACUGGGAUAACUUCGGGAAACCGGAGCUAAUACCGGAUGAUAUUUUGAACCGCAUGGUUCAAAAGUGAAAGACGGUCUUGCUGUCACUUAUAGAUGGAUCCGCGCUGCAUUAGCUAGUUGGUAAGGUAACGGCUUACCAAGGCAACGAUGCAUAGCCGACCUGAGAGGGUGAUCGGCCACACUGGAACUGAGACACGGUCUAGACUCCUACGGGAGGCAGCAGUAGGGAAUCUUCCGCAAUGGGCGAAAGCCUGACGGAGCAACGCCGCGUGAGUGAUGAAGGUCUUCGGAUCGUAAAACUCUGUUAUUAGGGAAGAACAUAUGUGUAAGUAACUGUGCACAUCUUGACGGUACCUAAUCAGAAAGCCACGGCUAACUACGUG
rnacentral:rRNA from 1 species